UGGCUCAGAACGAACGCUGGCGGCGUGCUUAACACAUGCAAGUCGAACGCGAAAGGGACUUCGGUCCUGAGUAAAGUGGCGCACGGGUGAGUAACGCGUAGAUAACCUGUCUUCAUGUCUGGAAUAAUACGCCGAAAGGGGUACUAAUACCGGAUAUUCUUGCUUUUCAUAAGUUAUGCAAGCAAAGGUGGCCUCUGCAUAUGCUACUGCAUGAAGAGGGGUCUGCGUACCAUUAGCUAGUAGGUGGGGUAAUGGCCUACCUAGGCGGCGAUGGUUAGCGGGUCUGAGAGGAUGAUCCGCCACACUGGCACUGGAACACGGGCCAGACUCCUACGGGAGGCAGCAGUGAGGAAUAUUGCGCAAUGGGGGAAACCCUGACGCAGCGACGCCGCGUGAGUCGAGGAAGGCCUUCGGGUACGUAAAGCUCUGUCAAGAAGGAAAGAAGUGUACAAUGGCUAAUACCUGUUGUAUUUGACGGUACCUCUAAAGGAAGCACCGGCUAACUCCGUGCCAGCCGCCGC
rnacentral:rRNA from 1 species